UGGCUCAGUUGGCAGAGCAUGGUGUGUGCAACGCCAGGGUUGUGGGUUCGAUUCCCAC
rnacentral:tRNA from 1 species